rnacentral:rRNA from 1 species
AUUGAACGCUGGCGGCAGGCCUAACACAUGCAAGUCGAACGGUAACAGGAAGCAGCUUGCUGCUUCGCUGACGAGUGGCGGACGGGUGAGUAAUGUCUGGGAAGCUGCCUGAUGGAGGGGGAUAACUACUGGAAACGGUAGCUAAUACCGCAUAAUGUCGCAAGACCAAAGAGGGGGACCUUUGGGCCUCUUGCCAUCGGAUGUGCCCAGAUGGGAUUAGCUUGUUGGUGGGGUAACGGCUCACCAAGGCGACGAUCCCUAGCUGGUCUGAGAGGAUGACCAGCCACCCUGGAACUGAGACACGGUCCAGACUCCUACGGGAGGCAGCAGUGGGGAAUAUUGCACAAUGGGCGCAAGCCUGAUGCAGCCAUGCCGCGUGUAUGAAGAAGGCCUUCGGGUUGUAAAGUACUUUCAGCGGGGAGGAAGGGAGUAAAGUUAAUACCUUUGCUCAUUGACGUUACUCGCAGAAGAAGCACCGGCUAACUCCGUG